rnacentral:rRNA from 1 species
UGUAAGCGUAUACCAAAGUUGUUGCAGUUGAAACGCUCGUAGUCGGAAUUUGGCAGUUCCGGAUGUGUGCACGUCGUGUGCGCACUUCGCGGGGAUUGCUUUUGUGGUCUUGCGUAGGAUGAGGCACUUUUAUUAGUGAACGUCCUCACGCAACCACUUUUUACUGUGAGAAAAUCAGAGUGCUCAAAGCAGGCAUUUGCCGUGAAUGUAUUAGCAUGGAAUAAUAGAAUAGGACUUGGUCCUAUUUUGUUGGUUUGUUGGGACUGAGUAAUGAUUAAGAGGGACAGUUGGGGGCAUUUGUAUUUCGGUGCUAGAGGUGAAAUUCUUAGAUUACCGAAAGACAAACUGCUGCGAAAGCGUCUGCCAAGGAUGUUUUCAUUGA